rnacentral:pre_miRNA from 1 species
GGAAGUUAAGAAAUUGUUUCUUAAUUUUUAACUAAAAAAAAUUAAAAACCGAUUCUUAAAUAAGAAUUUUAUGAACUGGUUCUUAGUUUUUUUAGUUAAAAGUUAAGAAACUGUUUAUUAACUUCC